CUACGGGGCGCUGCAGUGGGGAAUAUUGCGCAAUGGGCGCAAGCCUGAUGCAGCCAUGCCGCGUGUAUGAAGAAGGCCUUCGGGUUGUAAAGUACUUUCAGCGGGGGGGAAGGGAGUAAAGUUAAUACCUUUGCUCAUUGACGUUACCCGCAGAAGAAGCACCGGCUAACUCCGUGCCAGCAGCCGCGGUAAUACGGAGGGUGCAAGCGUUAAUCGGAAUUACUGGGCGUAAAGCGCACGCAGGCGGUUUGUUAAGUCAGAUGUGAAAUCCCCGGGCUCAACCUGGGAACUGCAUCUGAUACUGGCAAGCUUGAGUCUCGUAGAGGGGGGUAGAAUUCCAGGUGUAGCGGUGAAAUGCGUAGAGAUCUGGAGGAAUACCGGUGGCGAAGGCGGCCCCCUGGACGAAGACUGACGCUCAGGUGCGAAAGCGUGGGGAGCAAACAGGAUUAGAUACCCGGGUAGUC
rnacentral:rRNA from 1 species